rnacentral:lncRNA from 1 species
AGAAUCAGAGGUUCCCUGCAACUUACUCUUUUAUUUUUUCCAAUGCCCUUUGGCAAUCAUUAAUUCGCCUGACCAUUUUUUUUUCAACAGUCUUGAAUACGGGUUCACACGUGGCUGUUAGAUGAGAUGUGAACCAUGACAGGUAGUUCAAUCUUUCUAAGAAACCACGAACCUCUCUUUUUCCUUCUCGGUUCAGGCGUUUUU